CUGGCAGGCCAGUGCCCACAGACACUUGGGAGGGGGGUCUCUGAGGCUGCCCAGUCCCCAUUCCCUUGGAAUACCUCAGCUUGUUGAGAGUUGGCUACCUUGUGGGCCUUUCUUGAGUUCCCCUCCCUUCUGCCUCCCUGUCACAUUCUCCCUCCACUCUUAAGCCUUUCUCUCCUCUCCUCCUCUGGCCUUUCCUUGCACCCCACAGGCAGAGGCAUACUUAGCGCGGAUGCGCCGGGCUCACCAGAACCGCACGUCCCUCUCAGAGGAGCAGUGGCGGGCAGCUGUGACAGCUGGGAGAAUCCUGGGGCCCCCAGAGGGCAGGGGUCAUGCACAGUGGGCAUCACAGGUGGAUGAGGCCCAGAGGCGGAUGGAUGCUGAGAUCUGGCAGCUCCUUGCCAGCUUUGCUGCCCACCCCCAACCCCAUUCCCAGGGGCUUCCUCCCUACUCCCAGCCUGCAGCUGCUCUUCGAGUGGCCCCUCCCUCUUCCUCCUCAUCCUCUUCUUCCUCUAGUCCUCUGUCUUCCCCUGCAGGCUCUAAG
rnacentral:lncRNA from 1 species